rnacentral:rRNA from 1 species
GACGAACCGAGCGAACGUUGUUCGGAAUCACUGGGCUUAAAGGGCGCGUAGGCGGGUUCGCAAGUCUGUGGUGAAAUCCUCCGGCUCAACCGGAGAACUGCCUCGGAUACUGCGGGUCUCGAGGGUGAUAGGGGUAUGCGGAACUAUCGGUGGAGCGGUGAAAUGCGUUGAUAUCGAUAGGAACUCCGGUGGCGAAGGCGGCAUACUGGACCGGCAUUGACGCUGAGGAGCGAAAGCCAGGGGAGCAAACGGG